rnacentral:rRNA from 1 species
GAUGAACGCUGGCGGCGUGCCUAAUACAUGCAAGUCGAGCGAACGGACGAGAAGCUUGCUUCUCUGAUGUUAGCGGCGGACGGGUGAGUAACACGUGGAUAACCUACCUAUAAGACUGGGAUAACUUCGGGAAACCAGAGCUAAUACCGGAUAAUAUUUUGAACCGCAUGGUUCAAAAGUGAAAGACGGUCUUGCUGUCACUUAUAGAUGGAUCCGCGCUGCAUUAGCUAGUUGGUAAGGUAACGGCUUACCAAGGCAACGAUGCAUAGCCGACCUGAGAGGGUGAUCGGCCACACUGGAACUGAGACACGGUCCAGACUCCUACGGGAGGCAGCAGUAGGGAAUCUUCCGCAAUGGGCGAAAGCCUGACGGAGCAACGCCGCGUGAGUGAUGAAGGUCUUCGGAUCGUAAAACUCUGUUAUUAGGGAAGAACAUAUGUGUAAGUAACUGUGCACAUCUUGACGGUACCUAAUCAGAAAGCCACGGCUAACUACGUGCCAGCAGCCGCGGUAAUACGUAGGUGGCAAGCGUUAUCCGGAAUUAUUGGGCGUAAAGCGCGCGUAGGCGGUUUUUUAAGUCUGAUGUGAAAGCCCACGGCUCAACCGUGGAGGGUCAUUGGAAACUGGAAAACUUGAGUGCAGAAGAGGAAAGUGGAAUUCCAUGUGUAGCGGUGAAAUGCGCAGAGAUAUGGAGGAACACCAGUGGCGAAGGCGACUUUCUGGUCUGUAACUGACGCUGAUGUGCGAAAGCGUGGGGAUCAAACAGGAUUAGAUACCCUGGUAGUCCACGCCGUAAACGAUGAGUGCUAAGUGUUAGGGGGUUUCCGCCCCUUAGUGCUGCAGCUAACGCAUUAAGCACUCCGCCUGGGGAGUACGACCGCAAGGUUGAAACUCAAAGGAAUUGACAGGGACCCGCACAAGCGGUGGAGCAUGUGGUUUAAUUCGAAGCAACGCGAAGAACCUUACCAAAUCUUGACAUCCUUUGACAACUCUAGAGAUAGAGCUUUCCCCUUCGGGGGACAAAGUGACAGGUGGUGCAUGGUUGUCGUCAGCUCGUGUCGUGAGAUGUUGGGUUAAGUCCCGCAACGAGCGCAACCCUUAAGCUUAGUUGCCAUCAUUAAGUUGGGCACUCUAAGUUGACUGCCGGUGACAAACCGGAGGAAGGUGGGGAUGACGUCAAAUCAUCAUGCCCCUUAUGAUUUGGGCUACACACGUGCUACAAUGGACAAUACAAAGGGCAGCGAAACCGCGAGGUCAAGCAAAUCCCAUAAAGUUGUUCUCAGUUCGGAUUGUAGUCUGCAACUCGACUACAUGAAGCUGGAAUCGCUAGUAAUCGUAGAUCAGCAUGCUACGGUGAAUACGUUCCCGGGUCU